rnacentral:rRNA from 1 species
GAUGAACGCUAGCUACAGGCUUAACACAUGCAAGUCGAGGGACCGGCGCACGGGUGAGUAACACGUAUCCAACCUGCCCUUUACUCGGGGAUAGCCUUUCGAAAGACAGAUUAAUACCCGAUGUAAAGUCUGGGGAUGCGUUCCAUUAGUUUGUUGGUGAGGUAACGGCUCACCAAGCCGUCGAUGGAUAGGGGUUCUGAGAGGAAGGUCCCCCACAGAUGAACUGGGACACGGUACAAAAGCCUACGGGAGGCAGCAGUGAGGAAGAUUGUGCAAUAGUCGUUAGCCGGAAAAAGCAAAGUAGUGUGAAGGAUGAAGGCUUAUUGGUCGUAAAAUUCUUUUAGAUAAGAAUAUGUAUGAUAUGAAUAAGGAUCGGCUAACUCCGUGCCAGCAGCCGCGGUAAUAC